CAACAUCUAUAACAACUACAACUACGACUACACAAGACUCAGUGAUUCUGUCACCAUUACAGCAGAAGCAAAACCCAAACCAACUCUGAGAUCAUUUCUUUCGAGCCUCAUCAACAGUGAAGACACCAUCACUCUGAGCUGUGAUCUGCAGGACUGGAGAGAAUGGGAGUUCUUCUGGUACAAUAAUUCAAAGAAGAAAAACCCAAACCGACUGUGAGAGUGAAUCCUCAGAGCUUCAUCUACACUGGAGACACCAUCACUCUGAGCUGUGAGCUGCAGGAGACUGGAUGGGAGUUUUUCUGGUACAAUAAUUCACAGUUUAAGAGGAAUGAACCCAGAUAUUCCAACACACUCAGUGUGAGAGUUGAUAUUGCAGGAGAAACAGUGUAUCAGUGUCGUGCAAGCAGGACAAUCAACAACAUCUAUAACAACUACGACUACGUCUAC